rnacentral:rRNA from 1 species
UACGUAGGCAGCAAGCGUUGUUCGGAAUUACUGGGCGUAAAGAGUGUGUAGGCGGUGCUCUAAGUUCGGUGUGAAAUCUCCUGCUUAACUGGGAGGGUGCGCCGGAAACUGGAGUGCUCGAGCGUGGGAGAGGAAAGCGGAAUUCCUGGUGUAGCGGUGAAAUGACGUAGAUAUCAGGAGGAACACCUGUGGUGUAGACAGCUUUCUGGACCAUAGCUGACGCUGAGACACGAAAGCGUGGGUAGCAAACAGG